GAUGAACGCUGGCGGCGUGCCUAAUACAUGCAAGUCGAGCGAACAGACGAGGAGCUUGCUCCUCUGACGUUAGCGGCGGACGGGUGAGUAACACGUGGAUAACCUACCUAUAAGACUGGAAUAACUUCGGGAAACCGGAGCUAAUACCGGAUAAUAUAUUGAACCGCAUGGUUCAAUAGUGAAAGACGGUUUUGCUGUCACUUAUAGAUGGAUCCGCGCCGCAUUAGCUAGUUGGUAAGGUAACGGCUUACCAAGGCAACGAUGCGUAGCCGACCUGAGAGGGUGAUCGGCCACACUGGAACUGAGACACGGUCCAGACUCCUACGGGAGGCAGCAGUAGGGAAUCUUCCGCAAUGGGCGAAAGCCUGACGGAGCAACGCCGCGUGAGUGAUGAAGGUCUUCGGAUCGUAAAACUCUGUUAUUAGGGAAGAACAAAUGUGUAAGUAACUAUGCACGUCUUGACGGUACCUAAUCAGAAAGCCACGGCUAACUACGUG
rnacentral:rRNA from 1 species